rnacentral:rRNA from 1 species
CUACGGGGUGCAGCAGUAAAGAAUCUUCCACAAUGGACGAAAGUCUGAUGGAGCGACACCGCGUGCAGGAUGACGGCCUUCGGGUUGUAAACUGCUUUUCUGAGGGAAUAAUUAUGAAGGUACCUUAGGAAUAAGCACCGGCUAAAUCCGUGCCAGCAGCCGCGGUAAUACGGAUGGUGCAAACGUUACCCGGAAUCAUUGGGCGUAAAGCGUCCGCAGGUGGCGUAAUAAGUCAGAUAUUAAAUCUCGAGGCUCAACUUCGAGACUGUGUUUGAAACUAUUAUGCUAGAGACUUGGAGAGGUGUAUGGAAUUCUACAUGUAGGGGUAAAAUCCGUAGAUAUGUAGAGGAACACCAAAAGCGAAGGCAGUACACUGGCCAAGUUCUGACACUCAUGGACGAAAGCGUGGGGAGCAAACGGGAUUAGAUACCCCAGUAGUC